UACGUAGGGUGCGAGCGUUAAUCGGAAUUACUGGGCGUAAAGCGUGCGCAGGCGGUUAUGCAAGACAGAUGUGAAAUCCCCGGGCUCAACCUGGGAACUGCAUUUGUGACUGCAUAGCCGGAGUGCGGCAGAGGGGGAUGGAAUUCCGCGUGUAGCAGUGAAAUGCGUAGAUAUGCGGAGGAACACCGAUGGCGAAGGCAAUCCCCUGGGCCUGCACUGACGCUCAUGCACGAAAGCGUGGGGAGCAAACAGG
rnacentral:rRNA from 1 species